rnacentral:rRNA from 1 species
UACGGAAGGUGCAAGCGUUAUCCGGAUUUACUGGGUUUAAAGGGUGCGUAGGUGGGUCUGUAAGUCAGUGGUGAAAUCUCCGAGCUUAACUCGGAAACUGCCAUUGAUACUAUAGGUCUUGAAUUAUCUGGAGGUAAGCGGAAUAUGUCAUGUAGCGGUGAAAUGCUUAGAUAUGACAUAGAACACCAAUUGCGAAGGCAGCUUACUACGGAUUGAUUGACACUGAGGCACGAAAGCGUGGGGAUCAAACAGG